rnacentral:rRNA from 1 species
GUUGCGAACGGGUGAGUAACGCGUAGGUAACCUGCCUAUUAGAGGGGGAUAACUAUUGGAAACGAUAGCUAAUACCGCAUAACAGUAUGUAACACAUGUUAGAUGCUUGAAAGAUGCAAUUGCAUCGCUAGUAGAUGGACCUGUGUUGUAUUAGCUAGUAGGUAGGGUAAAGGCCUACCUAGGCAACGAUACAUAGCCGACCUGAGAGGGUGAUCGGCCACACUGGGACUGAGACACGGCCCAGACUCCUACGGGAGGCAGCAGUAGGGAAUCUUCGGCAAUGGGGGGAACCCUGACCGAGCAACGCCGCGUGAGUGAAGAAGGUUUUCGGAUCGUAAAGCUCUGUUGUUAAGGAAGAACGAGUGUGAGAAUGGAAAGUUCAUACUGUGACGGUACUUAACCAGAAAGGGACGGCUAACUACGUGCCAGCAGCCGCGGUAAUACGUAGGUCCCGAGCGUUGUCCGGAUUUAUUGGGCGUAAAGCGAGCGCAGGCGGUUAGAAAAGUCUGAAGUGAAAGGCAGUGGCUCAACCAUUGUAGGCUUUGGAAACUGUUUAACUUGAGUGCAGAAGGGGAGAGUGGAAUUCCAUGUGUAGCGGUGAAAUGCGUAGAUAUAUGGAGGAA